ACCGUACUCCUACGGGAGGCAGCAGUGGGGAAUUUUGGACAAUGGGGGCAACCCUGAUCCAGCAAUGCCGCGUGCAGGAUGAAGGCCUUCGGGUUGUAAACUGCUUUUGUACGGGACGAAAGGGCUCUGGUUAAUACCUGGGGCAUAUGACGGUACCGUAAGAAUAAGCACCGGCUAACUACGUGCCAGCAGCCGCGGUAAUACGUAGGGUGCGAGCGUUAAUCGGAAUUACUGGGCGUAAAGCGUGCGCAGGCGGUAAUGCAAGACAGAUGUGAAAUCCCCGGGCUUAACCUGGGAACUGCAUUUGUGACUGCAUUGCUGGAGUGCGGCAGAGGGGGAUGGAAUUCCGCGUGUAGCAGUGAAAUGCGUAGAUAUGCGGAGGAACACCGAUGGCGAAGGCAAUCCCCUGGGCCUGCACUGACGCUCAUGCACGAAAGCGUGGGGAGCAAACAGGAUUAGAAACCCUGGUAGUCCUUGAC
rnacentral:rRNA from 1 species